rnacentral:rRNA from 1 species
CUCAAAGAUUAAGCCAUGCAAGUGGUUAUUUAACCCGACAGUUUAACUAAGUGUUAUCAUCGAUACGCAUCACAACAAUACACACAUAUAUGACAGUGAAACUAUAUACGCAUUUCACUUACGCAACUGCAGACAGCUGCUUAAUACAGUCACACUUGUCUUGACUUGGCUAUUGCAUAUAUCUCUCUUAUGAGAGUAUACGCUAACGACACACAUCGUAGUAAUACGUGAUUUCUCAUAACUGAGAAAGCCGUGUGCAUUACACGCGCGCGCGCUUGAAUCAGUCUCCAUCAACUUAAUGGAUAACUCAGGGAAAGUUUGGCUAAUACGUACGAGUUUCACCACAAUAUUACAUACACACGAUAUACUCAGCACUCAAUGGUAAACUUGUGCAUCUGCGUACUUUUGUCUUCGGACAGUGCGCUUAUGUACGAUUCGUUUAACUGCAACAUGAGAGACAUUGAGCACGCAGUCUUUCGAUCCUUUGUGAUUGAUUGACACUAUACGCUGAGCAGACUUURAGAUUCUUYACUAUCUUCGAAGCAUGUCWUACAAGCAUCUACAGCAUCAAGUCACAGGGUUGGCAAGUGUAUUAUUGAACCUUCAAAGCAGUCACGCAUACGGAAGAGUAGUUUCUGAUCCCAUAGAAGGAGCACCGUACAAUGAGAGACCGCUCUUAGUUCUAAGGAACGCAGCAGGCGCGUAAAUUGCCCAAUGCUAGUACCCUACUAUUGCAUUACAUUACGCAGACAACUAAUAAUGUUGACUAAUUAAUAAUAAACGCACGUUUAACUAUCUGUCACAAAUACAUACUAUUUAACCUUGUCUACAAACUGUAAUACUCUUUAAUUUCAUUUACUGAGGCAGUGACAAGCUGUAACGGUUGAGUAUAAUAAUGACGAGUGUCUGGCAUUGCCGCUGCCUUCGGGUAAGCUUGGCAAUUUUGCCGACGCUUUGUGUGCUCAAUUGGAAUGCGGUGAGUUUAAGCAACUCAGAACCUUUGGAUGGUAGUUCGUUUCGUUCUACUCUCUGAGUAUCUGAAUCUUCAAGUGGAGGGCAAGUCUGGUGC